rnacentral:rRNA from 1 species
GUGCCAGCCGCUGCGGUAAUACGUAGGUGGCGAGCGUUAUCCGGAUUUAUUGGGUUUAAAGGGUGCGUAGGCGGCUUAAUAAGUCGGUGGUUAAAGGUAGCAGCUUAACUGUUUUACAUGCCACCGAUACUGUUGAGCUUGAGUGAUCAGAAGGCAGGCAGAAUUUCUGGUGUAGCGGUGAAAUGCAUAGAUACCAGGAGACCCAAUGCGAAGCAGCUUGCUGCAGAUAAACUGACGCUGAUGCACGAAAGUGUGGGGAUCAAACAGGAUUAGAUACCCUGGUAGUCCACACUGUAAACGAUGAUUACUAGUUGUUGGGCGAAAGCUCAGUGACCAAGGGAAACCGAUAAGUAAUCCACCUGGGGAGUACGCCGGCAACGGUGAAACUCAAAGGAAUUGACGGGGUCCGCACAAGCGGUGGAGCAUGUGGUUUAAUUCGAUGAUACGCGAGGAACCUUACUGGCUAGAAUGUGAGGGAUAUAUCAGAGAUGGUAUAGCCAGC